rnacentral:rRNA from 1 species
CCUACGGGCGGCAGCAGUGAGGAAUAUUGGUCAAUGGGCGUAAGCCUGAACCAGCCAAGUCGCGUGCAGGAUGACGGUCCUAUGGAUCGUAAACCUCUUUUAUAAGGGAAUAAAGUGCGGCACGUGUGCCGUUUUGUAUGUACCUUAUGAAUAAGGAUCGGCUAACUCCGUGCCAGCAGCCGCGGUAAUACGGAGGAUCCGAGCGUUAUCCGGAUUUAUUGGGUUUAAAGGGUGCGUAGGCGGCCUUUUAAGUCAGGUGUGAAAGUCUGCGGCUCAACCGUAGAACUGCCGUUGAAACUGGGAGGCUGGAGUACGGUUGAGGUAGGCGGAAUGCGUGGUGUAGCGGUGAAAUGCUUAGAUAUCACGCAGAACUCCGAUUGCGAAGGCAGCCUGCCAAGCCGUGACUGACGCUGAUGCACGAAAGUGUGGGUAUCAAACAGGAUUAGAUACCCGUGUAGUC